rnacentral:tRNA from 1 species
GCCGAGCUGGUGUAGCUGGUGCGCACGCCUGCUUGAAGUACAGGAGGACACCGAUCGAUACGGUGGCUCGGCACCA